ensembl:scaRNA
ACAACUAAAUUUGGCAAAGCAACAAUACAUAGUCAUACACAUAAAACAGAUGGUUCCUACUGACAUGGUUUGUAUAUUUACCAGAUUUUCUAUGAUGGUCCCAUACAUU